UACAGAGGUCUCAAGCGUUGUUCGGAUUCAUUGGGCGUAAAGGGUGCGUAGGCGGCGCGGUAAGUCGGGUGUGAAAGCCCCGGGCUCAACCUGGGAAUUGCAUUCGAGACUGAAUAGCUAGGGUACGGUAGAGGGAAGCGGAAUUUCCGGUGUAGCGGUGAAAUGCGUAGAUAUCGGAAGGAACAUCAGUGGCGAAAGCGGCUUCCUGGUCCAGCACCGACGUUCAGGCACGAAAGCGUGGGGAGCAAACAGG
rnacentral:rRNA from 1 species